rnacentral:rRNA from 1 species
AGAGUUUGAUCCUGGCUCAGAACGAACGCUGGCGGCAGGCCUAACACAUGCAAGUCGAGCGCACCUUCGGGUGAGCGGCGGACGGGUUAGUAACGCGUGGGAAUAUACCCUUUGGUAAGGAAUAGCCUCUGGAAACGGAGAGUAAUACCUUAUGUGCCCUUCGGGGGAAAGAUUUAUCGCCAAAGGAUUAGCCCGCGUAAGAUUAGAUAGUUGGUGGGGUAAUGGCCUACCAAGUCUACGAUCUUUAGCUGGUUUGAGAGGAUGAUCAGCAACACUGGGACUGAGACACGGCCCAGACUCCUACGGGAGGCAGCAGUGGGGAAUCUUAAACAAUGGGCGAAAGCCUGAUCUAGCCAUGCCGCGUGAGUGACGAAAGCCUUAAGGUCGUAAAGCUCUUUCGCCAGAGAUGAUAAUGACAGUAUCUGGUAAAGAAACCCCGGCUAACUCCGUGCCAGCAGCCGCGGUAAUACGGAGGGGGUUAGCGUUGUUCGGAAUUACUGGGCGUAAAGCGUACGUAGGCGGAUUAGUCAGUCAGAGGUGAAAUCCCAGGGCUCAACCCUGGAACUGCCUUUGAUACUGCUAGUCUUGAGUUCGAGAGAGGUGAGUGGAAUUCCAAGUGUAGAGGUGAAAUUCGUAGAUAUUUGGAGGAACACCAGUGGCGAAGGCGGCUCACUGGCUCGAUACUGACGCUGAGGUACGAAAGUGUGGGGAGCAAACAGGAUUAGAUACCCUGGUAGUCCACACCGUAAACGAUGAAUGCCAGACGUCGGGGGGCUUGCCCUUCGGUGUCACACCUAACGGAUUAAGCAUUCCGCCUGGGGAGUACGGUCGCAAGAUUAAAACUCAAAGGAAUUGACGGGGGCCC